rnacentral:rRNA from 1 species
AGAGUUUGAUCCUGGCUCAGGACGAACGCUGGCGGCGUGCCUAAUACAUGCAAGUAGAACGCUGAAGACUUUAGCUUGCUAGAGUUGGAAGAGUUGCGAACGGGUGAGUAACGCGUAGGUAACCUGCCUACUAGCGGGGGAUAACUAUUGGAAACGAUAGCUAAUACCGCAUAACAGUGUUUAACACAUGUUAGAUGCUUGAAAGAUGCAAUUGCAUCACUAGUAGAUGGACCUGCGUUGUAUUAGCUAGUUGGUGGGGUAACGGCCUACCAAGGCGACGAUACAUAGCCGACCUGAGAGGGUGAUCGGCCACACUGGGACUGAGACACGGCCCAGACUCCUACGGGAGGCAGCAGUAGGGAAUCUUCGGCAAUGGGGGCAACCUGACCGAGCAACGCCGCGUGAGUGAAGAAGGUUUUCGGAUCGUAAAGCUCUGUUGUAAGAGAAGAACGUGUGUUAGAGUGGAAAGUUCACACAGUGACGGUAACUUACCAGAAAGGGACGGCUAACUACGUGCCAGCAGCCGCGGUAAU